GGGAGACAGGUUGUAUUUCUGCUCGAGAGCCGACUACCAGCGCCGUCAUUAAGCUGUGUGUGACUGGAAAAGAGGAGUUGGAGGAUUUCCACCAACUUGGAUGGACACUGCAACAUUUUUACUGCUGCAGUCAGUCCACAAAGUCAAGUU